AACGAACGCUGGCGGCAUGCCUAACACAUGCAAGUCGAACGGGAUCCUGGCUUCGGUCAGGUGAGAGUGGCGGACGGGUGAGUAACGCGUGGGAACCUGCCCAGUGGUGGGGGAUAACUGCGGGAAACUGCAGCUAAUACCGCAUGAGCCCGAGAGGGGAAAGAUUUAUCGCCAUUGGAGGGGCCCGCGUUCGAUUAGGUAGUUGGUGAGGUAACGGCUCACCAAGCCGACGAUCGAUAGCUGGUCUGAGAGGAUGAUCAGCCACACUGGGACUGAGAUACGGCCCAGACUCCUACGGGAGGCAGCAGUGGGGAAUAUUGGACAAUGGGCGAAAGCCUGAUCCAGCAAUGCCGCGUGAGUGAUGAAGGCCUUAGGGUUGUAAAGCUCUUUUACCCGGGAUGAUAAUGACAGUACCGGGAGAAUAAGCUCCGGCUAACUCCGUGCCAGCAGCCGCGGUAAU
rnacentral:rRNA from 1 species